rnacentral:rRNA from 1 species
GAUGAACGCUGGCGGCGUGCCUAAUACAUGCAAGUCGAGCGAACAGAUAAGGAGCUUGCUCCUUUGACGUUAGCGGCGGACGGGUGAGUAACACGUGGGUAACCUACCUAUAAGACUGGGAUAACUUCGGGAAACCGGAGCUAAUACCGGAUAACAUUUGGAACCGCAUGGUUCUAAAGUGAAAGAUGGUUUUGCUAUCACUUAUAGAUGGACCCGCGCCGUAUUAGCUAGUUGGUAAGGUAACGGCUUACCAAGGCAACGAUACGUAGCCGACCUGAGAGGGUGAUCGGCCACACUGGAACUGAGACACGGUCCAGACUCCUACGGGAGGCAGCAGUAGGGAAUCUUCCGCAAUAGGCGAAAGCCUGACGGAGCAACGCCGCGUGAGUGAUGAAGGGUUUCGGCUCGUAAAACUCUGUUAUUAGGGAAGAACAAAUGUGUAAGUAACUGUGCACGUCUUGACGGUACCUAAUCAGAAAGCCACGGCUAACUACGUG